UACGAAGGGGGCUAGCGUUGUUCGGAUUUACUGGGCGUAAAGCGCACGUAGGCGGAUCGUUAAGUCGGGGGUGAAAUCCUGGAGCUCAACUCCAGAACUGCCUUCGAUACUGGCGAUCUUGAGUCCGGAAGAGGUGAGUGGAACUCCUAGUGUAGAGGUGGAAUUCGUAGAUAUUCGCAAGAACACCAGUGGCGAAGGCGGCUGUCUGGUCCGGUUCUGACGCUGAGGCGCGAAAGCGUGGGGAGCAAACAGGG
rnacentral:rRNA from 1 species